UACAGAGGAUGCAAGCGUUAUCCGGAAUGAUUGGCGUAAAGCGUCUGUAGGUGGCUUUUAAGUCCGCCGUCAAAUCCCAGGGCUCAACUCUGGACAGGCGGUGGAAACUACCAAGCUGGAGUACGGUAGGGCAGAGGGAAUUUCCGGUGGAGCGGUGAAAUGCGUAGAGGAUCGGAAAGAACACCAACGGCGAAGGCAAGCUCGCUGGGACGGUACUGACACUAAGGCGCGAAAGCGUGGGAGGCGAACAGG
rnacentral:rRNA from 1 species